CAGACUGUACUUUCAGGGAUCAUUUCUAUAGUUUGUUACUAGAGAAGCUCCUCUGAACGUGUAGUGCACCUGAAACCAUGAGGAGGAGAAGGAGUGUUCUCUCCUGAGCGUGAAAUCGGCUUUUGGUGUUGCUUCGGUGACUGCCAUUGCCCAUCGAUGAUUGUCCUUCUCUCUCCUUGGAGGGAGUAUGGGGGAGAAAGCACCGUCUGAGUGGG